rnacentral:rRNA from 1 species
UCUUUCUUUGCUGGCGACCGGCGCACGGGUGAGUAACACGUAUCCAACCUGCCCUUUACUCGGGAUAGCCUUUCGAAAGAAAGAUUAAUACCCGAUAGCAUAAUGAUUCCGCAUGGUUUCAUUAUUAAAGGAUUCCGGUAAAGGAUGGGGAUGCGUUCCAUUAGGUUGUUGGUGAGGUAACGGCCCACCAAGCCUUCGAUGGAUAGGGGUUCUGAGAGGAAGGUCCCCCACAUUGGAACUGAGACACGGUCCAA